UGCGCAGCAGUCGCGAAAACUCCGCAAUACGCGAACGCGUGACGGGGCUCCCCCGAGUGUUGUCCGCUGAGGACGCCUUUUCCACGCUGUAAGGAGGCGUGGGAAUAAGGAGAGGGCAAGUCUGGUGUCAGCCGCCGCGGUAAUACCAGCUCUCCGAGUGGUAGGGACGAUUAUUGGGCUUAAAGCGUCCGUAGCCGGCUCAGCAAGUCUCCCGUUAAAUCCAACGAUUCAAUCGUUGGACUGCGGGAGAUACUGUUGAGCUAGGAGGCGGGAGAGGCCGACGGUAUUCCCGGAGUAGGGGUGAAAUCUUAUAAUCCCGGGAAGACCACCAGUGGCGUAGGCGGUCGGCUAGCACGCGCUCGACAGUGAGGGACGAAAGCUGGGGUAGCGAACCGGAUUAGAUACCCCUGGAGUCC
rnacentral:rRNA from 1 species